ensembl:snoRNA SNORD113-9 small nucleolar RNA, C/D box 113-9
CGGAUCAAUGAGUGCCCUGGGGUGUCUGAAUCCAGGAUUUUGAUUAAACCCCGUAACUCUGAGGUCCAC